UAUUAACAAGUAAUUGAUGAGAAGUUC
rnacentral:piRNA from 2 species